UAAGAAAAGGAGAUGGAUAAAUAGAUAGUUCCUUCUUUUUAAUAAUGGGUCCAUAGUGGGCCAGAUUUCCUCUUUUUGCAGGAACCUGCCAGCAGAUGAGAUCAAACUGCGUGAGACCGAUGAACCCCAAUUACAGAAAGAGG